AAGUACGUAUUUCAAAUUCCAGUCUUGUGGACUCUUUUUUUGCAAAAAAAAAAAUUUGAUUCCUCUUUUUUUAUGUAAAAUAAAUAAUUAUUAUGAAACAAACUUUUAAUUCUCUUUAUCUCUAAAAUAGAAAAAAAAAUAUAUUUAUCCAAUUUUUUGAUAAUUCAAAGAUAUCUACAGUGAAUUUAUAUUUUAAUUCGAAAAUUAUUUAAUUUUUUUUAUUUCUAAAACAGAAAAAAAAAUUCAUGCUUAUCGAAAAUUUUGCCAAAAUAUCUACUAUAAAUCUAUAUUUCAAUUUAAAAUUUAAAAUUAAUUUAAAAUUUCAAAUUUUGGACUAUCAACGUAUUACUGAUUAGUUUUGAUUUUUUCAAAUAUGUCACUACUGUUACAGUCCAUUAGAAAAAUUUAGUUAACCAUAAGUUAAAUACUUACGCCGGUUAGUUUUUGACAUUUUUACCUCUUCUAUAUUGUAUUGUUAAUGCUUUUGGAGGGAUAUAUUUGUAAUGGCAAAAUUGAAAAUAUAAAACGGUAACAAAUCAGAAGGAUAUAUUUAAAAAUAUUAAAACAUUUAUAAGCAACAAAUAGGAAGGAUAUUUUUGAAAAUAUUAUUACUUUUGUAGGAAUAAUAUAUAAAAGUUAAAUUUUAUAGGAAUAUAUUUGUCAUUAACUGUGUUUACAUAGAUCCGUAACGAAAUUAACUCUCUUCUAAUCAAUAUUAUAUACAAAAU
rnacentral:lncRNA from 1 species